rnacentral:rRNA from 1 species
AGAGUUUGAUCCUGGCUCAGGAUGAACGCUGGCUACAGGCUUAACACAUGCAAGUCGAGGGGCAGCAUGAUCAAAGCUUGCUUUGAUUGAUGGCGACCGGCGCACGGGUGAGUAACGCGUAUCCAACCUUCCCCUUAGUAGGGCAUAGCCCGGCGAAAGUCGGAUUAAUACCCUAUGUUAUCCGAAGAGGACAUCUGAAUUGGAUUAAAGAUUUAUCGCUAAGGGAUGGGGAUGCGUCUGAUUAGGUUGUUGGCGGGGUAACGGCCCACCAAGCCCACGAUCAGUAGGGGUUCUGAGAGGAAGGUCCCCCACAUUGGAACUGAGACACGGUCCAAACUCCUACGGGAGGCAGCAGUGAGGAAUAUUGGUCAAUGGUCGAGAGACUGAACCAGCCAAGUAGCGUGCAGGAUGACGGCCCUAUGGGUUGUAAACUGCUUUUAUACGGGGAUAAAGUGAGCCACGUGUGGUUUUUUGCAGGUACCGUAUGAAUAAGGACCGGCUAAUUCCGUGCCAGCAGCCGCGGUAAUACGGAAGGUCCGGGCGUUAUCCGGAUUUAUUGGGUUUAAAGGGAGCGCAGGCGGGUUGUUAAGCGUGACGUGAAAUGUAGCCGCUCAACGGCUGAACUGCGUCGCGAACUGGCAGUCUUGAGUGAGUACGACGUCAGCGGAAUUCGUGGUGUAGCGGUGAAAUGCUUAGAGAUUACACAGAACACCGAUUGCGAAGGCAUCUCACGAAGGGUUGAUUGACGCUGAGGCACGAAAGCGUGGGGAUCAAACAGGAUUAGAUACCCUGGUAGUCCACGCAGUAAACGAUGAUGGCUAACCGCUGGUCCAUACGGUUCAGUGGCCAAGCGAAAGCGAUAAGCCAUCCACCUGGGGAGUACGACCGCAAGGUUGAAACUCAAAGGAAUUGACGGGGGCCCGCACAAGCGGAGGAACAUGUGGUUUAAUUCGAUGAUACGCGAGGAACCUUACCCGGGCUCGAACGGCUGGUGAACGAUGCAGAGAUGCAAAGGCCCUUCGGGGCGCCAGUCGAGGUGCUGCAUGGUUGUCGUCAGCUCGUGCCGUGAGGUGUCGGCUCAAGUGCCAUAACGAGCGCAACCCUUGCCGUCAGUUACCAUCAAGUGAUGUUGGGGACUCUGGCGGGACUGCCACCGCAAGGUGUGAGGAAGGGGGGGAUGACGUCAAAUCAGCACGGCCCUUACGUCCGGGGCGACACACGUGUUACAAUGGCGGCCACAGAGGGGCACUACCUGGCGACAGGAUGGGAAUCUCGAAAAGCCGUCUCAGUCCGGAUCGGAGUCUGCAACCCGACUCCGUGAAGCUGGAUUCGCUAGUAAUCGCGCAUCAGCCAUGGCGCGGUGAAUACGUUCCCGGGCCUUGUACACACCGCCCGUCAAGCCAUGAAAGUCUGGGGCGCCUGAAGUCCGUGACCGAGAGGAGCGGCCUAGGGCGAAACAGGUAAUUGGGGCUAAGUCGUAACAAGGUA